UACGUAGGGACCGAGCGUUGUCCGGAAUCAUUGGGCGUAAAGAGCGUGUAGGCGGCCACUUAAGUCCUGCGUGAAAUCUUGCGGCUCAACCGCAAGCGGUCGUGGGAAACUGGGUGGCUAGAGUGCGGGAGAGGAGAGUGGAAUUUCCGGUGUAGCGGUGAAAUGCGUAGAUAUCGGAAGGAACACCUGUGGCGAAAGCGGCUCACUGGACCAUUACUGACGCUGAGGCACGAAAGCUAGGGGAGCAAACAGG
rnacentral:rRNA from 1 species